AUGACGUCACUAUUUAGCUCAGGUCGACGAGCGGCCCUGAUGACGCGUCCAAGAUGGCCGACAGGCCCCUGAGCUGUAACUUCCGCUGCCCGACUGUUCGUGACGAUGGAGACCCGAUGGAAGAAAGGAGACUGACUGGGGGCGCCCUCCAUCCAUCACAUGGGAUCAUGCUGCUGUGCGGGGAUGACGUGUUUAUGUGCUUAAAAGAUCUAAACUGAAUCAUGCAACACAUGAACAGUGAACUCUAGUCUGCACCUGAAGAAAGGCUCUUUACUUGAAAAUGUUGGAAGAGCAGCUGGAGAACAACAAGGUUCAAGACAAGCGGACGGAGGACGAAAUGAACAAAGCUGCUGAAUGAGCAGAGACACUUGAAGGUCCUGGAGGAGACGAGGAGGAUGGAGGAACAUUUGGGCGCAGUUUCCAGACCUGAGGACGGCAGGUUUCUUCUUCUGCUCUGCGGUUACUCUGAGAAGUAACUUUGACAGUUUGGGGGUGGUUCAACUUUUGUAAAAUGUUUGCUGUGCAGCUGAAUUUUAAUAAAGAAUAAUUUGGUAUAA